rnacentral:tRNA from 1 species
GGUGAGGUGUCCGAGCGGCUGAAGGAGCACGCCUGGAAAGUGUGUAUACGUUAAUAGCGUAUCGAGGGUUCGAAUCCCUCCCUCACCGCCA